UCUCCGUUGGUGAACCAGCGGAGGGAUCAUUAUCGUGUUUAUAACUCCCAAACCCUAUGUGAACUUACCACUUGUUGCUUCGGCGCGCGCUUCGGUGCCGCCGAGGACACUUAAACUCUUUGUUUUUAUAAGCAUUUCUGAGUGGCCGAAAGGCAAAAUACAAAUGAAUCAAAACUUUCAACAACGGAUCUCUUGGUUCUG
rnacentral:misc_RNA from 1 species